rnacentral:rRNA from 1 species
UACAGAGGUCCCAAGCGUUGUUCGGAUUCACUGGGCGUAAAGGGUGCGUAGGUGGCCAGGUAAGUUCGGUGUGAAAGCUCGGAGCUUAACUCCGAAAUGGCAUUGAAUACUAUCUGGCUAGAGGGUCGGAGGGGAGACUGGAAUUCUCGGUGUAGCAGUGAAAUGCGUAGAUAUCGAGAGGAACACCAGUGGCGAAGGCGAGUCUCUGGACGACACCUGACACUGAGGCACGAAAAGCCAGGGGAGCAAACAGG